rnacentral:rRNA from 1 species
GCAUAACGCGAAGAACCUUACCAGGUCUUGACAUCCCUUUGAAUAGCCUAGAGAUAGGCUAGGCCCUUCGGGGACAGAGGAGACAGGUGGUGCAUGGUUGUCGUCAGCUCGUGUCGUGAGAUGUUGGGUUAAGUCCCGCAACGAGCGCAACCCUUGACUUUAGUUGCCAGCACUUUGGGUGGGCACUCUAAAGUGACUGCCGGUGACAAACCGGAGGAAGGUGGGGAUGACGUCAAAUCAUCAUGCCCCUUAUGACCUGGGCUACACACGUACUACAAUGGCCGGUACAACGGGAAGCGAAGUGGCGACAUGGAGCAAAUCCUCAAAAAAUCGUCUCAGUUCAGAUUGCAGGCUGAAACUCGCCUGCAUGAAGUCGGAAUUGCUAGUAAUCGCAGAUCAGCAUGCUGCGGUGAAUACGUUCCCGGGUCUUGUACACACCG